UGAGGAAUUUUGCGCAAUGGGAGCAAUCCUGACGCAGCAACGCCGCGUGGGUGAAGAAGGCCUUCGGGUCGUAAAGCCCUGUCAGGUGGGAAGAAGGGUCCUAUCAGGAAAGGGGUGGGAUUUGACGGUACCACCAGAGGAAGCACCGGCUAACUCCGUGCCAGCAGCCGCGGUAAUACGGAGGGUGCGAGCGUUAUUCGGAAUUACUGGGCGUAAAGCGCGUGUAGGCGGGGGAGCAAGUCUGAUGUGAAAGCCCCGGGCUUAACACGGGAAGUGCAUUGGAAACUGUUUUUCUUGAGUACUGGAGAGGAAGGGGGAAUUCCCGGUGUAGAGGUGAAAUUCGUAGAGAUCGGGAGGAAUACCAGUGGCGAAGGCGCCCUUCUGGACGGUUACUGACGCGGAGACGCGAAAGCGUGGGGAGCAAACA
rnacentral:rRNA from 1 species